rnacentral:rRNA from 1 species
UACGGAGGGGACUAGCGUUGUUCGGAAUUACUGGGCGUAAAGCGCGCGUAGGCGGAUUUGCAAGUCGGGGGUGAAAGCCCGAGGCUCAACCUCGGAACUGCCUUUGAUACUGCAAAUCUCGAGUCCGGAAGAGGUGAGUGGAAUUCCUAGUGUAGAGGUGAAAUUCGUAGAUAUUAGGAAGAACACCAGUGGCGAAGGCGGCUCACUGGUCCGGUACUGACGCUGAGGUGCGAAAGCGUGGGGAGCAAACAGG